AAGAAAGAAAGAAAAAAAUUUGAUCUGGUGCAAACUAACAGUCUCCAGAGCCUAUUUUGACUCCACCCAUUUUCAAGCAUAUUUUAUAGGUUACUCCUAUCUGGACCAAGACCAAGUUACAGAUAAUGCCAGCACCUUCACCAGCUCCUGAGACUUCACCAUUGGUACCACCUCUCCUGGUUCAAAUGAUCAGCUACCUAGCAACUAAAAUCUGGUUUUAAAGGACAUAUCUGUCCUCAUCUCAUUCACUGCCUCUCCUGUACAGCCAGGAUGCUUCUCUGACCCAUUCUUUCUGGUAGUUAAUCACUCUUCCCACGGCUAACCCCAUUCGUAGGGCCAAUAAAAACAAUCUAUUUUUUCUCCUAGCAACUUGCCUUCUCAUCUCCAUCAAGGAUCAGAUGCCUAAGGUCUUCAGGAUGGCAGUAAACCAGUUGCCUCUUCAGCCAUACUUCCAGAUGAGCGGUCACCAAGGAGCGAACCAGGUGCGGUGGAGCCAGGAGCACACUUGAAAAUACUGGAGUCCCUAGGAAGGCUUUGCUUUGGUGGUCGUGUCCACUCUAGAAAAUGCUGGAGUCCAUGGGAAGGUGUUGCUUUGGUGGUCGUGUCCUAUGAAGUCUGACAGGAGGAGCAACCAGCCAACAUGGCGGGGAUCCUCCUGCACCGUGUCUGAACAGGUUCUGGGUGGUGGUCUGUGCUGGUCUGGCUCUGACAUGAUCCUCACUGCGGAGACAUUUUCUUCCUGGCCUCUCAUUUUCCUAUAGGUACCACUUUCAAGCUGUCAAUGGUCAGUUAGCAUCCACCUUGGCACUAGAGAUUCCUAGCAUCAUCGGUGUCAGGAUUUGUCAUCCCCUUUUUCCUUCGCUGUGGCCCUCAGGUGUCAGAGAUAGCCCACACCUAGAGGUCCAUAGAGUGACUGCAUGGCCUUCUUUGAGUAAUCUGCAUUCUGCUUUUCCAGGUGACCCUGAUGGCUCAACAGAGGGACACUAGUGACAAGAGCAUAGGGAAGCAGCUAAGUGAAGUUAGCCAGACCACAAAGUCCCUGCCUGAAGCUGUGUUCAGGGUUAUCUGAUGCUUUGAGUCACUCACACAGAGCCUUAUCUAUAAACAAACACCUGCCAUCAUCUUCUUCAGCCUUAAUGUUGCUACCGUUAUUAGUCACUGUGGCUGAGACUUUACUUACCUGACAGCACACUAGCCCCGCUGUUGGUCAGCAUUCCAGAGCUUUCCUGCUCAUUGCUGCGGUCAGUCCCUUCACUCAGACUUGCCUUCUUAUCUCCUCAAGACCAGUGGCCCUCCCGGCCUGUUCCUCCUGCCUGCCUGGAGGUGGUGCUUGCUCACCCAUGGCACCUCCAGGGGCUUCUUACCACAUGCCCUGUGCCUUUACAAACUCAACCCCAUCUCCGUGUGAUCAGAGAGCCAGAGAGCUUUGAUGAAACCUCUCUGCUGCAGACACAGGUCCUGCAGGGGCCCUCAGUUCUCCUUGGGGUUGCUCUGGGAUUCUGGACACUGUUGCCAGGAAGUACACAGACUUGUUCCAUCAGCCUCCCUGCUCACAACUCAGCUGCUUCUGCAGUAUCACCCCUGCAGCAUCAGUAAACCACCGGCAGUUUCUUCACAAGCUCUGAGCUCCUACCUCCCAAACCAGGGCAGUGCGCAGAGGCUGACGGUGAGCUGGGCUGCCUGGAGACACUGGAGCAGCAGUAGCUGCGGCUGGGUGACUAAUCUCCAGGCCAGGUGGAGCUGACUCAGAAGUCGGGGGUAUGAAUUAGAAUCCCGCCCCUGGAUUUUAUUACUGGGCUUCCCACUCUGCUACCCUCUUCUCCUCCAGCAUCUGGCUCUACCUCAAGCAGGCCUUGGUACUGUCUGCGUGGGGCUCUUCCACCUCCAGUUGGCCCCAGACAGCCAGAGCGCUUGCUGUGGCAGCUGCUGCUUUUGAAAAGUCCUGAUGCUUUCUUUUUCUUCUUGGCAACCAGUAAGUUAAUUAACCAAUCAAUUAAUUAAAAUGAAUAAAUAUCUACUCAGUGCCAGACCCAUGUACUGGGAAGGAUUCUCUGAUUGUAAGAAUAAAAAUCCAGGGGCUAAGGAAAUAGCUCAGUCAAUAAAGUAUUUGCCGUAUAAGUGUGA